GUUCCACGAGUGGAGGCGUUUGUACAGAGAGCUGCUUUUCCAUCCAAAGAGUAUAAAGUAGUACCAACGUUUGGAUCGAUAUCUGCAUCGAUCUGCCCACCCUUGUCUCCUGGAUCGUAGCUGAGAUCAGCGUGAACCACGUGGGUCUCUGCUCCCUGAUCUGUUUCCUGUGUUUGGAAAGAGUUCCAGCUUCAUCACGGAGUUUCUCUCGGUUUGUGGGCUCAUCUAAAGCUGAUCAGCAGGAGGAGAAGAGUCUGACGGAGCAGCAGAGGAACAUUUUCAGCCAUCUGGACUCAGCUGAGUCACUACAGAGGAAACAAUGAGCUCAACACAGAAGGACCAACAUGGAGCGAGAAGUCAGCGCUCUCAGGAGGCCGACAAACCUCACAGAAGAAAGGGAGAGAAAACAUACACCUGUGAUCAGUGUGGGAAGAAUUUUGCUUUGAAGUGUAAACUAAAACAGCAUCAGGUCAUCCACACAGGAGUUAAAGCGUACCUCUGUGACUUGUGUGGAAAGUCUUUUUCCUUGAAGAGUCACCUAAAACAACACCAACUCAUCCACAGUGGAGUUAAAGCGUACAGCUGUGAUCAGUGUGGCAGAGCUUUUACUCACAGUAGCAGCUUACAGAGGCAUCUAGUUACCCACUCUGGAAUUAAGGCAUACAGCUGUGACAUCUGUGGAAAAACUUUCAGCCGGAUUGAGAGCAGAAAUUUACACCUGCACAUUCACACCAGACAUGAUGUGUACUGCUGUGAUCAGUGUGGCAAACACUUUGCUAAACACACACACUUACGCCACAUGUUUACCCACACUGAGGAGAGACCUUAUAAAUGUGACCUGUGUGAGAAGACUUUUAAAGCUCCACAACACCUGAGAGAACACCAACAGAUCCACACCAGAAAGAGACUCUACAAGUGCAGUUACUGUGAGAAGCAGAGCGACACAGAUGCAUCCAGUUCUCAACCCUGUCAUCACUGUGGUGGUGGGAAAGAGUUUCGUUGUGACCUCUGUGGAAAAACCCUUCAGUCAACAACACAACCUAAAAAGACAUCAACGUAGACACACUGUAGACAAACUGAAAUACUGCAAAGAAUGUGGGAGAAGCUUCACCACAUCAAGUAACUUAAAACAACAUGAACUGAUUCACAGUGGGGUUAAAAAGCACCUCUGUGAUCAGUGUGGGUCAUCCUUCAUUACUGCAGGUCAGCUUAAAAAACACAAACGAGUCCACACAGGAGAGAAACCAUACAAGUGCAGACACUGUGACAAAAGCUUCUCACGAUCAGAUAGUUGUAACAGGCAUGAACGUACACACAUGGAAGGAAACUACAGCUGUGACCAGUGUGACAAGACCUUCAGGAAUCUCAGUUCAUACUCCAAACACAAACGAUCCCACGUUACUAAUAAACUGUUUCACUGUUACCAAUGUGCCAAAACAUUCACUAAAUUAUCUGCUCUGUGCAAACAUCAGCGUGAUCACUCAGGGCUGAAAUCACUCCCAUCACUGGAUCACAGUGAAUCUGAAGAGACAGAAAGAUCCUCUUCAGGUUUCAGGGUCAGGCUUAAAACCCUUGAGAUCAGGCUCCACAGAGUUCAUGUAAAAAUCUGAUGAGACAGCUGUGAACGAAAAUGUUCCUCUAGUAACAUUUUAACCCUCAGGGGUCAACGGUAUGUCAAAAUCACGUGACCAAUUGAAGAGCAACAAGAUGCACUAACCCAGAGUCUCCAUUUCAACUGGAGUCGAAAGUGUGGACUUCAAACUAUGUAACAGUUUUUAAAUUGUGUUGACAGGCUACGUAAAACCAGAUUCAUGAUAAUUAAAAAAAAUAAUACAUGCAAUGAUUUUUUUCUGAAUAAAACAGCAUUGUAUUUAGAGCACGAAGAAAGGGUAUAAGCGGCAUUUUCUAAGGAAGGCACUAGCCAACACUCUCCGCUUGCGGGCAAAAAAUAAAUAGAAAAAACAUCCUUUCCCUAUUUGUGUUAAAGUGUACUAAAAGUGUAAUAAAAAAUUAUAUGGCAACAUAUGGCAUUGGGUUGUUUAGGAAGAUGGGGAAGUUUUAGGAGUGACGCCAGUGAGAUGGAGAGAGUGAGCAUUCCUUUUAUCAAGGAAUUCUCAGAAUUUUUAACAAACAUACAUUCAAAAUAUAAUAUAAUUUUAACCGGUGAUUUUAACCUGCACAUAGAUAAUCCUUCUGACCCUACAUCAAAAGAAUUCUUAAACAUUCUUCACUGUAUGGAUUUUACCCAGCACGUCACGCAGCCGACUCACAACAAAGGACACACCCUGGACCUGGUCAUCACCCAUGGGCUGUCCACCAGUGUGUCUGUUGUUGACUUCGCUGUCUCUGACCACUACUGUGUGUUUUUUAACAUCACCGGUUUUAUUCAGCGGGAGACCUCGGUGCGAACUGUGAGGAGGCGCUAUCUAACCUCUGAAGUGGCUGCAAAUUAUACCAGGGUUUUAGACGAAUGCCCCCCUGUGAUUCUACCUGCACCCUGUGAUUUAAUUUUUAAUCAUUUUAACAGCAAACUGAAGAAAAGCCUUGACUCCGUUGCUCCGCUCACCACCAAAAAGAUUAACGUAAAACAUGUAUCACCCUGGAGAAACGAAGAAGUCAAAAAACUCAAAAGAAAUUGCAGGGCAGCAGAAAGGAGAUGGAGGAAAAAUAAAAAUGCAAUCAACCAUCAAAUACUUUGCGAGCAACAUAAAAUGUACAAUAAUACGCUAAGGAAUUCAAGAAAUUCAUACUUCGCCAAAAUAAUCAGUAAUAACAAAAAUAAUCUCAAGGUCCUCUUUUCUACCAUAGAUCAUUUAUUUAACCCUGAUUUUAACAGCUCCCAAAGAACCCCCACAGACUCACUCUGUGAGCAGUUUGCAGACCACUUCAGGGGAAAAAUCAGUGCCAUCAGAUGUUCUUCUUCUCGUGAUAUGAUUUUAAACACAUCUGAGGGCUCGAUUGUACCUGAGGGGACACUGGACAGCUUUGUCCUGGUUAAUGCUGAGAACCUUAAGAAAGUUUUCUCCACACUGAGACCGACCACACAACUAUGGGCACGCUAAUGUUUGUCUCAUGGAAUGUGCAUGGAGCUGGCUCUAGGGAAAAAAGGUUAAAA